rnacentral:tRNA from 2 species
GCGCCCAUAGCUCAGCCGGUUAGAGCACAGUCCUUAUAAGACUGGGGUCCUUGGUUCGAAUCCAAGUGGGCGCA